rnacentral:rRNA from 1 species
GACGAACGCUGGCGGCGUGCUUAACACAUGCAAGUCGAGCGAUGGAGCACCUUCGGGUGUGAAUUAGCGGCGAACGGGUGAGGAACACGUGAAGAAUCUGCCUUCAACUCUGGGAUAACUCCGGGAAACCGGGGCUAAUACCGGAUAUGAGCCUUGAUCGCAUGAUCGGGGCUGGAAAGUUUUUCGGUUGAAGAUGACUUCGCGGCCUAUCAGCUUGUUGGUGAGGUAAUGGCUCACCAAGGCGACGACGGGUAGCCGGCCUGAGAGGGCGACCGGCCACACUGGGACUGAGACACGGCCCAGACUCCUACGGGAGGCAGCAGUGGGGAAUAUUGGGCAAUGGAGGAAACUCUGACCCAGCGACGCCGCGUAAGGGAUGAAGGCCUUCGUGUUGUAAACCUCUUUCAGUAGGGAAGAAGUUGACGUGUACCUGUAGAAGAAGCGCCGGCUAACUACGUGCCAGCAGCCGCCGUAA